ACUCAGCCCUUCGGGACUGAGUUUAGUGGCGAACGGGUGAGUAACGCGUGAGGAACCUGCCUUUCAGUGGGGGACAACAGUUGGAAACGACUGCUAAUACCACAUAAUGCUUUUGGAUCGCAUGAUUUAAAAGCCAAAGAUUUAUUGCUGAAAGAUGGCCUCGCGUCUGAUUAGCUAGUUGGUGAGGUAACGGCCCACCAAGGCGACGAUCAGUAGCCGGUCUGAGAGGAUGAACGGCCACAUUGGGACUGAGAUACGGCCCAGACUCC
rnacentral:rRNA from 1 species